GGCGGAUUAGUCUCACAGCUAAUUGAAGAUGCUUACUGUUUAAAGAUGAAUUACUGGCCGGUGUUUAAUAUCAGCACGAUGUUACUCUGCUGGUUAGAUAUACUGAAGCUCCAAAACAACACAAUCUGACUGCCCUAACAGUACAGGUGCGGUACAAUGGUGUUCUUUCAGCUGAAGAAAGAAGCCCGAAGAAGCCUCUCGGGUCCGACUGCAGCAGUAUUCUGUUACCUGAGGUCCACAUUACACCCGUCGCGCUCGGGCUUAAGUGAAAAGG